rnacentral:tRNA from 1 species
AGAAAAGUAAGCUAAAUUAAGCUAAUGGGUUCAUACCCCAUAUAUAGAGUGUAACACUCUCUUCUCUA